rnacentral:rRNA from 1 species
GACGAACGCUGGCGGCGUGCCUAAUACAUGCAAGUCGAACGAGAGCGACCGGUGCUUGCACUGGUCAAUCUAGUGGCGAACGGGUGAGUAACACGUGGGUAACCUGCCCAUCAGAGGGGGAUAACAUCCGGAAACGGAUGCUAAAACCGCAUAGGUCUUCGAGCCGCAUGGCUUGAAGAGGAAAAGAGGCGCAAGCUUCUGCUGAUGGAUGGACCCGCGGUGCAUUAGCUAGUUGGUGAGGUAACGGCUCACCAAGGCCGUGAUGCAUAGCCGACCUGAGAGGGUGAUCGGCCACAUUGGGACUGAGACACGGCCCAAACUCCUACGGGAGGCAGCAGUAGGGAAUCUUCCGCAAUGGACGCAAGUCUGACGGAGCAACGCCGCGUGAGUGAAGAAGGUUUUCGGAUCGUAAAACUCUGUUGUUAGAGAAGAACAAGUGCUAGAGUAACUGUUAGCGCCUUGACGUACCUAACCAGAAAGCCAC